CCUACGGGAGGCAGCAGUGGGGGAUAUUGCACAAUGGGGGAAACCCUGAUGCAGCGACGCAGCGUGGGGGAAGAAGUAUUUCGGUGUGUAAAGCCCUAUCAGCAGGGAAGAAAGAAGACGGUACCUGACUAAGAAGCCCCGGCUAACUACGUGCCAGCAGCCGCGGUAAUACGUAGGGGGCGAGCGUUAUCCGGAUUCACUGGGUGUAAAGGGAGCGUAGACGGCCGUGCAAGCCAGGAGUGAAAGCCCGGGGCCCAACCCCGGGACUGCUCUUGGAACUGUGCGGCUGGAGUGCGGGAGGGGCAGGCGGAAUUCGUGGUGUAGCGGUGAAAUGCGUAGAUAUCAGGAGGAACACCGGCGGCGAAGGCGGCCUGCGGGACCGCGACUGACGUUGAGGCUCGAAAGCGUGGGGAGCGAACAGGAUUAGAUACCCGAGUAGUC
rnacentral:rRNA from 1 species